rnacentral:tRNA from 1 species
GGGCCGAUAGAUCAGUGGAUGUGCGUUUUCGCGCCACUAAAGAUCGCCGCCUUCGCAAGGCGGAGGCCGUGGGUUCAAAUCCCACUCGGUCCA